AGAGUUUGAUCCUGGCUCAGAUUGAACGCUGGCGGCAUGCCUUACACAUGCAAGUCGAACGGUAACGGGCCUUCGGGCGCCGACGAGUGGCGAACGGGUGAGUAAUGCAUCGGAACGUGCCCAGUAGUGGGGGAUAGCCCGGCGAAAGCCGGAUUAAUACCGCAUGAGACCUGAGGGUGAAAGCGGGGGAUCGCAAGACCUCGCGCUACUGGAGCGGCCGAUGUCAGAUUAGCUAGUUGGUGGGGUAAAGGCCUACCAAGGCAACGAUCUGUAGUUGGUCUGAGAGGACGACCAGCCACACUGGGACUGAGAUACGGCCCAGACUCCUACGGGAGGCAGCAGUGGGGAAUUUUGGACAAUGGGCGCAAGCCUGAUCCAGCAAUGCCGCGUGCAGGAAGAAGGCCUUCGGGUUGUAAACUGCUUUUGUCAGGGAAGAAAUCUUCUGGGUUAAUACCUCGGGAGGAUGACGGUACCUGAAGAAUAAGCACCGGCUAACUACGUGCCAGCAGCCGCGGUAAUACGUAGGGUGCGAGCGUUAAUCGGAAUUACUGGGCGUAAAGCGUGCGCAGGCGGCUUUGCAAGACAGAUGUGAAAUCCCCGGGCUCAACCUGGGAACUGCAUUUGUGACUGCAAGGCUAGAGUACGGCAGAGGGGGAUGGAAUUCCGCGUGUAGCAGUGAAAUGCGUAGAUAUGCGGAGGAACACCGAUGGCGAAGGCAAUCCCCUGGGCCUGUACUGACGCUCAUGCACGAAAGCGUGGGGAGCAAACAGGAUUAGAUACCCUGGUAGUCCACGCCCUAAACGAUGUCAACUGGUUGUUGGACGGCUUGCUGUUCAGUAACGAAGCUAACGCG
rnacentral:rRNA from 1 species